rnacentral:rRNA from 1 species
UACGUAGGUGGCAAGCGUUGUCCGGAUUUAUUGGGUUUAAAGGGUGCGUAGGCGGUCCUAUAAGUCAGUGCUGAAAUAUCCCGGCUUAACCGGGAGGGUGGCAUUGAUACUGUAGGACUUGAGUAAAGUUGAGGUUGGCGGAAUUGACGGUGUAGCGGUGAAAUGCUUAGAUAUCGUCAAGAACACCUAUUGCGAAGGCAGCUAACUAAGCUUUAACUGACGCUGAGGCACGAAAGUGUGGGGAGCGAACAGG